UUUUCUUCUGGUCCAAAAGACACUUAUUACUGUGCAUCCAAUUAAAAGAAAAGUAAAGAAAUCAGGUUGAAACUAUCCGUUGAUCUUCCUGCCUCAGCCUCGGAAGUUGCUGAGAUUACAGGAGUGUCCUUUACAUUUGGCUCCCAAAGCAGUAUCUGAGUAGGAGUCUAAGCUUUCGAAAGAGCAUUCCUGCCCUCAUGAAGCUCACACUCCAGUAAAAUGGUAAGAUAGAAAGAAUGGGACAGAUGGCAGGAGGAAGGUGUCAAGCACAACACCGAAUCGAGAACAGCUACGUGUUUUCGGAAGUGGUAGUGUCCAAUCAAGACCUAGGAAAUGGUGGGAAUGAACUCCUGGCUUUAUACAUUUAUUAUCCUAGGAACAUGUGGUUUGUGUUUAUUUUUUAAAGUCUGAGAAAAGAAGCCUGUCUUCUCUGUUUGAUCCAAUGCUUAAACUUUCUAUAAUCAGAAAUCUCUUCCUUGUGCUUUCAAGAGGAAUUAUAAAUAAAAUGAUGAAAUGUGUGUCAAAUA